AUUGAACGCUAGCGGCAGGCUUUACACAUGCAAGUCGAACGAGUGGCGGACGGGUGAGUAAUAUCUGGGAAAGUGCCCAGUGGCGGGGGAUAACUACUCGAAACAGUGGCUAAUACCGCAUACCAUUAGAGCUGCCCAGAUCGGAUUAGCUUGUUGGUGGGGUAAAGGCUCACCAAGGCAACGAUCCCUAGCUGGUCUGAGAGGACGACCAGCCACACUGGGACUGAGACACGGCCCAGACUCCUACGGGAGGCAGCAGUGGGGAAUUUUGCACAAUGGGCGAAACCCUGAUGCAGCCAUCCCGCGUGUAUGAGGAAGGCCUUCGGGUUGUAAAGUACUUUUGGCAGAGAAGCGGUAUCUGCAGAAUAAGCACCGGCUAACUACGUGCCAGCAGCCGCGGUAAUAC
rnacentral:rRNA from 1 species